AUGGACAAGGAGCCCAUGGAGGCGGAGAGGGUGACGAAGCCGGGGUGGAGUGGCCCCAAGGAGAGGUGGGGAGCGCCCCAGAGGAAGAGGCGGGGUGCCAGGCGCGGCUCCCCGAAGAAGGGGUGGAGUGGCUCCAGGGGGAGAGGGCGGGGAAGGGGACAGGGGUGGAGUGGCCCCGCAAAGCCUCGGGACUCCGGCGACGGUUUCCGCAAGCAGCAGGCGGAGGAUUUUUUCCACAAACGGAGCCCAGAACCCGACGGCAGUUUCCGCAAGCCACAGGCAGAUGAUUUUUUCCGCAAACGGAGUCCGGAGCCUGACGACGGUUUCCGCAAGCAACAGGCGGAGGAUUUUUUCCGCAAACGGAGUCCGGAGCCCAACGACGGUAUCCGCAAGCAACGGGCAGAGGGUUUCUCCUACAAACGGAGCCCGGAGCCCGAUGACAGUUUCCGCGAACGGAGCCCGGAGCCGGCGAGGAGCCGUUACAGCGAGGAGGACUUGGGAGAUUGGAGCGCCGAGAGCGAAGUUGAGGACGCAAAGAGCGGAGGGAAAGAGCGGGCGGAGGAGAGGGUUUUGAGCAGGAAGGGCAAGCUCCCGGCGGAAGCCGUGGCUUCCCAUCCCAAGCAGUCCGCCGCCCGCACCAAGUGGAUGCCCUGCAAAGCGGUCUCGCACUUCUGGAUGACGCGGUGCCAAGUCACCAUCGGGAAGAAGGCGCGGACCUACCUGCGCUCCACCUGCCCCCGGCCCUGGCUGCCUGACUACUCCACCCGGACCCCCGUUCUGAACAAGAGGAUCGUGCUCCAGCUGAAGCGGCCCCACCUGAGGCGGCUCUCCUACGCCUGCCGCAAGUGGCAAGUGCUCGAGAACGAGCUGCUGGACAUGGUGGGGCCGGCUAUGACCAUCUACGAGAUGGCGGAGGAGGCCCUGGGCAAAGGGGAGUCGGUGGAGCCCCUGGAGCUGCGGGAGUGGGCCCGGCACCUGCUCCGCUACGCCGGCAGCCUCAGCCAGCGGCUCCUCUUCAACCACCGCAGCGAGGUCCUGGGCACCAUCAACCCCCAGCUGAGGAACAUGGCCCAGAAAAUGAAAGACGGGACCGCCAACGGGCGGCUCUUCACCGACGACGACAUGAUGCUUGUGCUGGAGGUCCUUGCCAAGUUCCCGCAUCUGGUGCAGUCCCCUUGGAUGGAGCGGGUCACGCCCACAGGCAGAGACCAGCCGGACAGCACGAGGCCCUGGAGCAUCGCCGAGGACUUUGCAGAUGCGAGACCCUCGAGCUCUUCCUAUCCUUGAGGCUUCUUCUCACAGCUUCCAAGGGAGAGUCCAGAGAAAGGCAGCGAAGCCGGAAACGAUACGGUGGGGACGUUCCCAUUGAGUUCUUUUUCUUGUUUCCUCUCCCAUUGACAUCCUAGGAAAUAGGGAACCAGCCCUACUUCCUUUUCCUGUUGCCGGAGCCAUUUGGUUCAAUGAGAACCCCUUUGUGUUCGUUUCUGGUGGGCCCGUUGCGCGACUUGGAGCCGGCCCGAUUUCCAGAAAGGGAUUGCAAUGAAGCCUCCUCGUCCCGUCCUUUAUUUUUUAUUUUGGUUUUGUUUGUUCACCUUCUCUCGAGGCCGAGCCAUUGUCAAAUAUGUGCUGGGAAUAAAUGCUAGUUUUUUUGGUUUUGAAAAAGCUCUCCCUUUACGGUAUAACCCAUUAUCCCCUCCCCAAGUCUUCUGAAGUCCAAGCCGGCAUCAAAAACAGAGAUAUGUUGCAGGAAAUGUCAUGUUAAAAUGAUUGGGUCCAGCAUUUUGUGGGGAAUAAUAAUUAUUAUUUUAUGACACAGCAAACAAGAUAGAUAUGCUUCUUAUAAUAAUAAUUAUUAUUUUUAAUUUUUUUAUUAUUAUUAUUAGUGACAUUUAUAUCCCACCCUUCUCAACGUCUCACCAAGUCCAAACCGGCAUCAAAAACAGAGAUACAUUGCAGGAAAUGUCACGUUAAAAUGAUUGGGUCCAGCAUUUUGUGGGGUAUAAUAAUAAUAAUAAUAAUUAUUAUUAUUAGCAACAUUUAUAUCCCGCCCUUCUCACCGUCUCACCAAGUCCAAACCCAUAUAUGUUAGGAAAUGUCAUGUUAAAAUGAUUGGGUCGAGCAUUUUGUGGGGAAUAUUAUUAUUAAUAUUAUUAUUAUUAUUAUUAUUAUUAUUAGCGACACUUAUAUCCCGCCCUUCUCACCGUCUCACCAAGUCCAAACCAACAACAAAAACAGAGAUAUGUUAGGAAAUGUCACAUUAAAAUGAUUGGGUCGAGCAUUUUGUGGGGAAUAAUAAUAAUAAUAAUUAUUAUUAUUAUUAUUCAUGACACUUAUAUUCCGCCCUUCUUACCGUCUCACCA
rnacentral:lncRNA from 11 species